AUUGCAAACUUGAGGCCAUAGCAGAAUCACUUGUGGCGUGGCCCUGUCAGAUUCCAUUGAAUCUGUGAAUUCUGCU
rnacentral:ribozyme from 1 species